CACGUAGGGGGCGAGCGUUGUCCGGAUUUAUUGGGCGUAAAGAGCUCGUAGGCGGCUCGUUGCGUCGGCUGUGAAAACCCGCAGCUCAACUGUGGGCUUGCAGCUGAUACGGGCGGGCUGGGAUUCGGUAGGGGAGACUGGAAUUCCUGGUGUAGCGGUGAAAUGCGCAGAUAUCAGGAGGAACACCGGUGGCGAAGGCGGGUCUCUGGGCCGAUAUCGACGCUGAGGAGCGAAAGCGUGGGGAGCGAACAGG
rnacentral:rRNA from 1 species